GUACUUCUGAAGAGUCCCAAACUAGGACGAAACAGUUGUCCAGUAC
rnacentral:hammerhead_ribozyme from 1 species